rnacentral:ncRNA from 1 species
AAAUCCUGCACGAAAAGAGAAUAACCACCUCAUUCGUUAGCGAGUCUUGCGUGGUGUCGGGCAAUCGGCUCCACGAAGCAUAGACAGCGAGGUAGCAGGGUAAGUAUUGAGCACCGAAAUCCCUUCAGUCUAGGAAGCCGACCUUGUGGGUCUUAGGGAAGGCAACAUGUGGGUUUAUCGUUAUGGUGAGAUUUCACACAUUCCUACGGUGUCAGAGACC